rnacentral:rRNA from 1 species
GAUGAACGCUAGCUACAGGCUUAACACAUGCAAGUCGCGGGGCAGCAUGGGGGUUGCUUGCACCUCCCGAUGGCGACCGGCGCACGGGUGAGUAACGCGUAUCCAACCUGCCCUUCACCACGGGAUAACCCGGCGAAAGUCGGACUAAUACCGUAUGUUGUCCAUUGACGGCAUCCGAUUUGGACGAAAGGCUUUGCGGUGAAGGAUGGGGAUGCGUCCGAUUAGCCAGACGGCGGGGUAACGGCCCACCGUGGCUACGAUCGGUAGGGGUUCUGAGAGGAAGGUCCCCCACACUGGAACUGAGACACGGUCCAGACUCCUACGGGAGGCAGCAGUGAGGAAUAUUGGUCAAUGGGCGUAAGCCUGAACCAGCCAAGUAGCGUGCAGGAUGACGGCCCUAUGGGUUGUAAACUGCUUUUAUGCGGGGAUAAAGUGGCCCACGUGUGGGCUUUUGCAGGUACCGCAUGAAUAAGGACCGGCUAAUUCCGUG